UGCGCACGUGGUGAAACUGGUAGACACGCCAGCUUGAGGGGCUGGUGCUUUAAGUAGUGUGGAGGUUCGAAUCCUCUCUGCGCAC
rnacentral:tRNA from 1 species